rnacentral:rRNA from 1 species
AGAUAAGCUGUCUCUAUUAUAAUAGCAUGAAAUUUUCCUUUAAGUGAAAAGACUUAGAUUUUUUUAAAAGACGAGAAGACCCUAUCGAACUUAAUAGUUUUUAAAAAUAAUAAUUUAAAAAGAAGUUUUACUGGGGCAGUAAGAAGAAAAAAAUAAUUCUUCCUUAGAAAAAAGAUCCCUUAUUAAGGACAAAAGAAAAAGUUACCGUAGGGAUAACAGCGUUAUCGUUUUUAAGAGAACUAAUCGAAGAAACGGUUUGCGACCUCGAUGUUGGAUUUAAAUUUCUUCCUUGGCGCAGUAGUUUGGAAAGUAGGUCUGUUCGCCCUU